UAUAUAAGGGGGGUAGAGGUGUUGGAGGCAGACUGAGGCGACGGCAGGCGGACGUCAUGGGCGUCCUGUGGGCUUAGUGGGCGUGCUGCGUGGGCGUUUGAUGGCAUGCAUGGCUUGUCCGUGCUACGUCGUCGGGCGCCUACAAAAACACGCCGACGAAGGCUCGUGGGGCGACCGUGCGCCGCCGAGGGCAUUUAUCUCGAACGGUCUAUACGCGUCUGGUGUGGAAACGGCAGUGCUUUCGGGCGAGUGGCGAGUUCUAGAGCUCCUGUUACGGCUAACUCUAGGCGCUGCACGCACGGGGCACGUAAGGCCAUGUACGGCCAGACGCUACGGUGGGCCGGGCGUGGGCGGUGCCCGUGCAGCAACUUCAGUCUGCCUUCAACACCUUUGCAGUGAUUAAAUUCUCAACCCCCGACGGAGGCGCGCUAUGGCGGGGAUUGCAUCGGCCUUGCAACGAAGGCAUCGGCAUCGGCGCACGGCAUCUCAUGUCGGGCGUCGGGGCGGGUGUUGGGCGUGCAUCGACGGAGCAAUUCACGUACGGCGCAUGAGUUGUGUUCGGCUUGUGUGGUUAGGUUGGAUCCCUGCUUCGAGCAGCGACGUCCUAACCCGCAUGCCAUCUCGGUGGCGGAUCAAGCGCAAUCUAGGCUUGUCGGACGUCGGUCUCCUGUGCUGCAUACCGAAUGCGUAGGCAUUACUCGCGUGCAAUCGGUCGCCCUUCGCCCCUCGCAUUCCGUGUGCGGGGUGAACCGAAAAGCCGCCCUCGCGUCCCGCGCCUUCCUCGCUUCGUCGUGCGAUGGCGCGGUCCGCGAGCGGCGGCUCGAAUUCUCGGAUUCGGUUGACGCAGUGGGCAUGGGGCCUUCACCGGCUCCUAUCUGCCCAGAACGAAUGCUCCUUGCGAAUGACGGCCGCGCUCGCCUUGGACCCGGCCGCGCCCGAACGGGCGCUCCGGGGUCAUGCGGCGCGCGGCGUCGCCGAGGAA
rnacentral:misc_RNA from 1 species